CCUACGGGUGGCUGCAGUGGGGGAUAUUGGACAAUGGGGGGGAACCCUGAUCCAGCGACGCCGCGUGAGUGAAGAAGUAUUUCGGUAUGUAAAGCUCUGUCAGCAGGGAAGAAAGCAAUGACGGUACCUGCCCAAGAAGCCCCGGCUAACUACGUGCCAGCAGCCGCGGUAAUACGUAGGGGGCAAGCGUUAUCCGGAAUUACUGGGUGUAAAGGGAGCGUAGACGGCUGUGCAAGUCUGGAGUGAAAGGCGGGGGCCCAACCCCCGGACUGCUUUGGAAACUGUAGGGCUGGAGUGCAGGAGAGGUAAGCGGAAUUCCUAGUGUAGCGGUGAAAUGCGUAGAUAUUAGGAGGAACACCAGUGGCGAAGGCGGCUUACUGGACUGUAACUGACGUUGAGGCUCGAAAGCGUGGGGAGCAAACAGGAUUAGAUACCCGUGUAGUC
rnacentral:rRNA from 1 species